CCAGGUUGAAUAAAUUUUCAAAACCACAUAAAUAUCAAAUUCAAUCCGUAAAUGAAGUUCCAUAAUUAACCAUGUUUUGAACCAAAUUCCUGACUUCGGUCAGUGAACCUGCACCAUAUUAGUACUACAAAAAAAAUUUUGAAUACGCGUACUUGGACUUAUUUCUCAUCUUGUAGAUAGAGUAAUAGCUUCCUCAAUGUGUUUACCUUUAAUAUAAACUAGAUGACCAGUUGCGCCAAAUGGCGCAAAAACCCGUUUAAAACCACGUUCGUGUUGAAAAUAUUUGCAUUUUUUCAAUAAGUGUAUAUUUGAGUAGUUAUGGAGACCUCUCCCAGGUUGAACUUCCUUACUAAAAUCAUUCUUCACCUUAGCCUUUGUACCUUCCUGGAAAACAGAAUAAGAACACGAUUAUUCAAAAUUAAAACCCUAUAAGGGAUUAUUGCAAUACGAAGCUAGCACUCAUACACAAAAAGACUGGAUUGCUCUAACUAAAGUAAGGGAUGACCGAACUCAUCCAAUAUCUCUGCCGGGAUGGUAAACAGAAUACGUAAAUGAUUACUUAAGUAGUUCACUACUUGCUCCAGCGCCCACUUCCUAAAAGAUCUCAGCUUCGCACCUAAAGCAGGCAAACAACCAUAGCUAUUUUUUUAAUGAAUUUUGGUAUGAUUGAAGAAAACUCUCACCAUAUUUUAAGAUCCCUUCCAGCCUCCUGCUCUAACAAAACACACAUUGUAAUUAAUCCAGCAACGACUUCAUCAGAGCAACAUAAACAUGAAUAUAUAUAUAUAUAUAUAUAUAUAUAUAUAUAUAUAUAUAUAUAUAUAUAUAUAUAUAUAUAUAUAUAUAUAUAUAUUCUACAUGCACCAGGAUAUCAGGAUGUGGUGACCUUGGUCUCCAUGAUCCUUGACAUCACAACCAUGGAAAGAAACAAUUAGCUACUUGACAAAAUGAUGGCAGCGGCCCAAUGUCGAGAAAAGGAGGAGGCACCACAAGACAGGCCUUCUUAAGUUCUUAAAUUUUAUCAAGGUUAUCGAUACAAAAUAACAUAGCUCAUGAACAGAAUCUAAAUAGGCAACCAGGAGCAUGUGGGACGGAAAUAACUAUGUGGCACAUGACAGCUAGAGCAGCAAAGAAGAAACAUGAUUUAUUGGCUUACCUAUUUUGAAUACCCGCAAAAAAAUGAAUUUCUUUCAUCUCAAAUGUGUAAGAACACAACUUUUGUAACCCCGUGAGACACCAUUGUAAUCAAAUACCACAUGCGUCCUACCAUAAUGCCAUUCAUUAAAUUAUGCC
rnacentral:lncRNA from 1 species